GUGUUCAAGAUGGGGAAGACAGGCACGUGAAAGACUAACUCCUUUAGCGAGCUUCAUAGACAAGCAGUACAUGAGUUAGUAAUCCACGUACCCUGCUUCUCCAUCUUGCUUAA
rnacentral:pre_miRNA from 1 species